AGAUUGAAUGGCGGUAGGAUUAUCCACAAAGGUUUUUCACGGAAGGUUACUCCCAACAAAUGAUAACGCUUGCCUCGGCGCCUUUUGACCACAACCCAAAAAAACGUCGAACCCCAAACGUGAAAAACAUAAACCAUAUAAACCCAAAAAUAAAAGGCUAAAAAAAUAUAUGUAUGAAUAGAACAAACGAUCAGAAAAAAACUUACGACUUGGCAACAAAUCCCUUUUCAAAACACCGUCUAAUCGAACUCAAAUUUCAAAAAACAACUCUUGGUAGCAACAAAUUCUACGGCGUAAUUCGUUUCACCGCAGCCGUCUUUUCGCUUUCGUAGCUAUCAAGGAAGUAUUGGUGCUUAUUUAUUGGAAAUUUUUGAGUUCCUUCAAGGAUUUAUAGUGAUAUAAAAUUGAAUAAACGAGAAAGAUAUAUCAGGAAAAGGUUCAUAUUCGUCGGGGGUAAUCCACCCUGCAUAAAUGUACAACCUACGACGAUGCACACAUUCUCGAGAGCUGACAACCCCGCGAUUUUUUAGAAGACGAACGGUGUCUACGCGGUCUUAAGCCUCAACAUUGGCUACGUAACGGGAUUUUCGUUUUAACUUUCGUCACAAAAGCGUAUGUUGAUAUUUUUGUGUUAUUUAAUACAGUUAGUAAUCUUUGCAUUUCUUUAUACUUUAUUUGUGUUUUGUAUACAACAUUUUAUAUUUUUUAUAAUGUUCCAUCUGUGUUUUCGAAACUGACUUGAUUUAACCUCAAUGCAGAAUCACGUGUUUGAUACCUUUAACUUUUAUUGUUUGAAAUUACAUUCAUUUUGGUAUAAAUGUUUGCUGAAUUUAUUCUUUUUAUGUUUUGAUUUCAUGGUCUUGGUUUCAAAUCAAAUUUAUAGUUUGA